rnacentral:lncRNA from 1 species
GCAUCCUACAUGUAGACUCACUGUGCUGUUUGGGCUGAAACAUUAACUUUGUAAAAUGUGUCUGGACCACAAGAGUAUAUAGGAGAAGUGCUACCUCCGAUCUAACUAGAGCAAGUUCAUGGCAGAAAGUAUCACAUACUUUAAAAAUGUGAAGUUUCCCGUCUCUCCAGUGGUUUCCAAGGCAAGUGGUGUCCAAGACACAGACCGUUUUCAUGUUGUUCAAUGCUCGGCUUUGUAAAAAGCCCAAAGCUAUCUUCUCUCGGCUUUGACUGCUAAUUGUAUUGCUCUUGGUUGUUUUUAUUUUUAAAUUUUUUUCUUGGUAAUGGUCUGUAAAUUUGCUUUUUUUUUUUAACCUAUUAUUCCCCACUAAAGGUCUUAGGCAUCUGGCCAUGUCAGGAUGCAGUGAGGGAGCCGCCAGCUUUCUUCUCCCUCAGACCAUUGUCUCUCCACUGAACUAGGCUGCCUCCCUACCGAGGUGCCAGCCAGAGGAGUGCCAGCAAGUCCCAGUAGGUCCUUAGGAAGGCUCCCAAGGCCAAGUCCGUGGUUCCUUCUCUGCUUCUCCCACAUACCUUUCCCAUCACACACGUCAAACAUCUGCUCAGAGUGCCUCUGUUCUCUUUUCAAAUUGGGGGGGGGGAUUAAAAACUUCAAAUGAUGGAAAAAACGAGAUCUCUUGUGAAAUGGAACGCCCCGUGUUAAUAACUUGGUCUGAAAUUGUUUUUAUGAGCCGGGCCCCCUGUGCCUCUAGCAUAUUUGUACUGACUCUCAUAGUUACCCUUUUCGUUUACUGUGUUCUGUGAAAACUUGUAAUUGGUUGAGAAUCACUGUGGGCGUCCAUUCUUAUCAACUAAGUCUCCACAGGGUUUUUGAGCUGGUGUGGAUUAGUUUAACUCUUGUAUUCAACCGUUAGUGCUACCACCUUCUCACAUCACAAUACAAUUACUGGAAGCAAGUACUGCAUUUCCUAUGCAACAGAAAAGGAAAAAAUAAAACAAAUUGCUAAUGCUACGGAAG